rnacentral:tRNA from 1 species
GGAUUGUGGGUCAGUGGUAGAGCACUCGCCUAGCAUGCAUGAGGCACUGGGUUCAAUCCUCAGCACCA